UGGGGAAUAUUGCACAAUGGGCGCAAGCCUGAUGCAGCCAUGCCGCGUGUAUGAAGAAGGCCUUCGGGUUGUAAAGUACUUUCAGCGGGGAGGAAGGUGUUGAGGUUAAUAACCUCAGCAAUUGACGUUACCCGCAGAAGAAGCACCGGCUAACUCAGUGCCAGCAGCCGCGGUAAUACGGAGGGUGCAAGCGUUAAUCGGAAUUACUGGGCGUAAAGCGCACGCAGGCGGUCUGUCAAGUCGGAUGUGAAAUCCCCGGGCUCAACCUGGGAACUGCAUUCGAAACUGGCAGGCUAGAGUCGUGUAGAGGGGGGUAGAAUUCCAGGUGUAGCGGUGAAAUGCGUAGAGAGCUGGAGGAAUACCGGUGGCGAAGGCGGCCCCCUGGACAAAGACUGACGCUCAGGUGCGAAAGCGUGGGGAGCAAACA
rnacentral:rRNA from 1 species